UGCAAGUCGAACGCGAAAGUCCUUCGGGAUGAGUAAAGUGGCGCACGGGUGAGUAACACGUAGGUGACCUGCCUUUUAGAGGGGAAUAACCAGAUGAAAAUUUGGCUAAUGCCGCAUACGAAGUACAAAUCUAAAAGUAGUACUUGAAAGGAUGCCUCUGUAUAUGCAUCCACUAAAAGAUGGGCCUGCGGAACAUUAGCUAGUUGGUGGGGUAAAGGCCUACCAAGGCAACGAUGUUUAUCCGGUCUGAGAGGAUGAUCGGACACACUGGAACUGAGACACGGUCCAGACUCCUACGGGAGGCAGCAGUGGGGAAUAUUGCGCAAUGGGGGAAACCCUGACGCAGCAACGCCGCGUGAGUGAGGAAGGACUUCGGUCUGUAAAGCUCUGUUAAUGUGGAAAAAUGGUAGUUGGUCUAAUAGGCCGAUUAUUUGAUGGUACACAUAGAGGAAGCACCGGCUAACUUCGUGCCAGCAGCCGCGGUAAUACGAAGGGUGCAAGCGUUGUUCGGAUUUAUUGGGCGUAAAGCGCGCGUAGGCGGACCUGUAAGUCAGAUGUGAAAUCUCGGGGCUCAACCUCGAAACUGCGUCUGAAACUGCAGGUCUAGAAUCUUGGAGGGGGAAAGGGGAAUUUCGCAUGUAGGGGUAAAAUCC
rnacentral:rRNA from 1 species